ACAUGGCAAUGAUGUUUAAAAGGGAAAGUUACGAACCUGAAUUGGCUCAGUGCUGUGAGAUUUGCAGUCCCAGGCGCGCAAAGAUUUAUCAUA